rnacentral:rRNA from 1 species
UUACCUGGUUUGAUCCUGCCAGUAGUCAUAUGCUUGUUUCAAAGAUUAAGCCAUGCAUGUCUAAGUACGAGCCUUCCUUAGUGUGAAACCGCGAACGGCUCAUUAAAUCAGUCAUAAUCCAUUGGAUGCAGUUCAUCCCUACUCGGAUAACUGUGGCAAUUCUAGAGCUAAUACGUGCACUUGAGCUCCGACGCCGAGGGGGUCGGCUCCUUCGGGAGCCUCCCUCUCGGGGGAAGGGCGCAGUUAUUAGAAUCAUAAACCGAGGCGGGCUCUCGAGUCCGAAACCUCUCGGCUAUGGUGACUCUGGAUAACGGUUGCCAAGCGCUCAGGCCCUCGAGCCGGCGCUGCAUCUUUUCGAGUGACUGCCCUAUCAGCUUUCGAUCGUAGGAUCGGGGCCUACGAUGGCUGUAACGGGUAACGGGGAAUCAGGGUUCGAUUCCGGAGAGGGAGCCUGAGAAACGGCUACCACAUCUAAGGAAGGCAGCAGGCACGCAAAUUACCCAAUCCCGGUUCGGGGAGGUAGUGACGAUAAAUACCGAUGCGGGACUCAUCCGAGGCCUCGCAAUCGGAAUGAGCUCACCUUAAAAAAGUGGGCGAGGAUCGAUUGGAGGGCAAGUCUGGUGCCAGCAGCCGCGGUAAUUCCAGCUCCAAUAGCGUAUAUUAAAGUUGCUGCGGUUAAAAAGCUCGUAGUUGGAAUUUCGGUCCGUUCCGGCGGCCCGCCGUAAGGGGGGCGCGACGCCCGCCCCGCUCGCUCUCGCUCCAACGAGGGCGCCCUUUCGCCUUCCCCUACCCGGCCUCCUCCGAGCGCCGUCGCCACCGUCGUCUACUACGCCCUUCCGAGGGAUAGUGGGCCGGCCGGUCGGCUCGCUCGCGAGGAUCAGUCGCGGUCCAGGGGGUUCACGGGGCGUUACGGGCGCUCGGAGCCGAGGCGGCUCGCGCGGGUUACCGCGCCCCCCGUCGGCGGAUCAGCCGCUCGGUUACGGAUUAGAAAUGAUACCAUUGCGUCGGCGCUCACGGGGUGCUCUUCACCGAGUGCCUCGCGCGGCCGACGACGAUCACUUUGAACAAAUUNNNNNNNNNNNNNNNUUUAGAGUGGCUCAAAGCAGGCCAAAAGCUCUUUAAGCCUGUAUAGUAAUGCAUUGAAUGAUGGAACAGGACCUCGGUUCUGACUUAUUUUUUUCUCGGUUUUUCCCGAACCCGAGGUAAUGAUUAACGGGAACGGUCGGGGGCAUUAGUAUUGCGACGCGAGGGGUGAAAUCCAGUGACCGUCGCAAGACUACCUACUGCGAAAGCAUUUGCCAAGAACGCUUUCAUUAAUCAAGAACGAAAGUUAGAGGAUCGAAGGCGAUCAGAUACCGCCCUAGUUCUAACUAUAAACGAUGCCAACUAGCGAUCCGCGUACAGUCAUUCCCAAGACUGCGCGGGAAGCCCCCGGGAAACCUAAGUCUUUGGGUUCCGGGGGUAGUAUGGUUGCAAAGCUGAAACUUAAAGGAAUUGACGGAAGGGCACCACCAGGAGUGGAGCCUGCGGCUUAAUUUGACUCAACACGGGAAACCUCACCAGGCCCGGACACCGGAAGGAUUGACAGAUUGAGAGCUCUUUCUCGAUUCGGUGGUUGGUGGUGCAUGGCCGUUCUUAGUUGGUGGAGCGAUUUGUCUGGUUAAUUCCGAUAACGAACAAGACUCUGUCCUACUAACUAGUCGACGGAUCGUUUCCCGAGGAGGGUUUUCCCCCUACGGGCGAGCGGUUCGCUCGGCGGCUCGGCGGGCUUUCGUUUCGGUUCGUCCCUGGCGGUGUCGUCGCGGCGGUCUCUUCCCUCUUCUCCUUAUCCUCUUCCUCCCUUCGGGGCGGAGGGGGUGAGGGUCGGGGGUUUUUGGCCGCUUCUCCGACGCCCGCUACACGGGUCGGACGGGCCCAUUCGCCCGAGUCGUCCGCGGCUUAGCCGUUCGCUCAAGGGGUCCCGACGAGGGGCGUCCGUCGUAUAAAAUCUUCUUAGAGGGACCGGCGGUCUCGAACCGUACGAGAAAGAGCAAUAACAGGUCUGUGAUGCCCUUAGAUGUCCUGGGCCGCACGCGUGCUACAAUGGAGGGAGCAGCGUGCUUUCCCCCUCCGAGAGGAGUGGGUAACCCCUUGAAACCCCUUCCCGAUUGGGAUUGGGGGUUGCAAUGGUUGCCCAUAAACGAGGAAUCCCUUGUAAGCGCGAGUCAUAAGCUCGCGAUGAAUACGUCCCUGCCCUUUGUACACACCGCCCGUCGCUACUACCGAUGAACGAUUAAGUGAGAGCGUCGGACCGGCGCCCUCGGCAGCCCUCGGCUCGAAAACCGGCCGGAAAAGGUAGCUCCCUCCCUUCGCGGAGGCGAAGGACCCUCUUCGGGACCCGGCGUGACCGAAUAAGCGCCCCCGGGCUUCGCCGGAAA